ACUGAGUGGAUUGGAGCUUUCCAUUAUGCUGAGAGUGUCACAUAAAUUCCCAUGUGGAGGUCAUGGACUACAUCACAAAGAUUGGCCACAAUUUCAGAAUAAAAAAAUGGUUGGAAAUCAAAUGCCAUGCUCAGCCUCGUGGUGCUGUUUUACCAUCUCAUCCCAGGUAAUCGCUGUCAUUUUGAAGAAAUUCGUUAUUGUCUGCUGAACACUUUUUCAAGUGCUUUUGUGACUAUCUUGAUAAUAACAAGAAGAUGAGAAGCAGGAAAAGUAGCAUUCACCCCAACAGCAAUAAAAAUCUAACUGUGUGCCCUGAACA
rnacentral:lncRNA from 1 species